UCACACCAUUUUGAAACUGGACACUCUUUUAUAUUCGAAGAUGUCACAGUGCUAGAUCGGGAGGCCAAUUGGUUUAAACGCAACGUGGGGGAGAUGAUCCAAAUAAACUUGGCCGACACUGUCAACCUAAGAAGUGACUGCGCUAAUCUUAGCAUUAUAUAUAGCAACAUACUAAAUAUGUACGCCCGACAAAAUAUUAAAUUCAGGUAGUUUUUUUUUUUUGUUUUAGGUGUAAUUUAAUUUUAUUUAAGAAAUAUUGAUGUUCAAAGUAGAAUAGUUAGUUUGUCCAAUAUUUGUCCAGUUCGUGAGAUUUUUUGAAUUCUCUGUUCAACGGUAUUUUCAUGUUUCUCUUCUUAUGAAAGCGAUGACGGAGGCGCAUUUCUUUUCCGUUCAGAUGUACUAUAAUAAUAAAUAUUCAACAAUAUGAAAUUCAGUAUGAAUUUGACGACGGGAAGGAGUGUGUCGCUGUCACCUGUUUUACCUACAUGUUAUUGCGAUCUUUUUGUCAUGGACUAGAGGAACACAGUUGAAUUCUAGAGCUUGAGAAAGCAACAAUAAAGUUGCGAAACGUCGCUCAUAGAAGAAG